CAGUAGCCGCGGGAAUACGUAGGGUGCAAGCGUUAAUCGGAAUUACUGGGCGUAAAGCGCGCGCAGGCGGUUUCUUAAGUCUGAUGUGAAAGCCCCCGGCUUAACCGGGGAGGGUCAUUGGAAACUGGGAGAUUUAGAGUGCAGAAGAGGAGAGUGGAAUACCAUGUGUAGCGGUGAAAUACGUAGAUAUAUGGAGGAACACCAGUGGCGAAGGCGACUCUCUGGUCUGUAACUGACGCUGAGGCGCGAAAGCGUGGGGAGCAAACAGGAUUAGAUACCCGGGUAGUCCCUGUCUCUUAUA
rnacentral:rRNA from 1 species